rnacentral:rRNA from 1 species
UGAGGAAUAUUGGACAAUGGAUGGAAAUCUGAUCCAGCCAUGCCGCGUGCAGGAAGACGGCCCUAUGGGUUGUAAACUGCUUUUGUAUGGGAGCAAUAAGGACUACGUAUAGUUUGAUGAGAGUACCAUACGAAUAAGCAUCGGCUAACUCCGUGCCAGCAGCCGCGGUAAUACGGAGGAUGCGAGCGUUAUCCGGAUUUAUUGGGUUUAAAGGGUGCGUAGGCGGCGAUAUAAGUCAGUGGUGAAAUAUUUCGGCUUAACCGAGAGACUGCCAUUGAUACUGUGUUGCUAGAAUAUGGUUGCUGUGAGUGGAAUGUGUGGUGUAGCGGUGAAAUGCUUAGAUAUCACACAGAAUAUCGAUUGCGAAGGCAGCUCACAAAGCCAUUAUUGACGCUGAGGCACGAAAGUGUGGGGAUCAAACA